UACGUAGGGGGCAAGCGUUGUCCGGAAUCAUUGGGCGUAAAGCGCGUGUAGGCGGUCCGGUAAGUCGGCUGUGAAAGCCCGGGGCUCAACUCCGGAAUUGCCUUUAAAACUGCAUCGCUAGAAUUGUGGAGAGGUAAGUGGAAUUCCGAGUGUAGAGGUGAAAUUCGUAGAUAUUCGGAAGAACACCAGUGGCGAAGGCGACUUACUGGACACAUAUUGACGCUGAGGUGCGAAAGCGUGGGGAGCAAACAGG
rnacentral:rRNA from 1 species